rnacentral:rRNA from 1 species
GAAACAAACAAAAUAAUAAAAACUUUCAACAACGGAUCUCUUGGCUCUGGCAUCGAUGAAGAACGCAGCGAAAUGCGAUACGUAAUGUGAAUUGCAGAAUUCAGCGAACCAUCGAAUCUUUGAACGCACAUUGCGCCCGCCAGUAUUCUGGCGGGCAU